GGGCAGUGAAUUAUAGAGGGAACCAGGUAAAGGUUUCAGAAGUUGGGAGGUGGGAGAAAACCAUGGAGUAGAGGCAGCCUCCAAUCUCCAUACAGACUGGCAAGUGGAGUCCCGGGAGGAGGGUGACCCAGCACCUAGAGGUUCUCGGCUGACUGACCUCAGCUGGGAUGAGAGCUGGGUGAGUCCCAGUGGAUUCAAGGCAGAGGAUGAGAAUGUGAGUGUUGAUGGGGAGCAAUGGGGAGAUUUCUGGGGCCUCCAUUUUAGCUUGAGGAAGGUGUGGUUUGAGUGUGUAGGUGUCCUCCUUUCAUCGUGAACAGGGUUUUUGUUUGUUUGCUCUCUAAUAGGAUUCAUGUGCUAAUUCUCUGUCUAAUGCACUCUUUUGGGGCUAAUAACAAAUUUCCUGAGAACCAUGCAAACUUCCAACAGUGGGACGGUGCCAUGUGUAGUGUUCUAGAAAGUUUGAUUCUGGAGAGAGGGAUCAGAGCUGAAGUGAGAGCCAGGGUUUGCCCGAGGUCCUGUGAACCACUGGGCCUGAAGAGGCAGGCUCCUCUGACCACUGAGAAGGCUCUGGUGAGCUUGGCUGCAGGCGAGGGGCAGAGUGGGAAGAGCUGAAGUUCUGUGGAAGCCAAGCUAGCUUAGACAAGUGCCAGUGCUUUUGGCAUCUUUUGUCUUUUACAUCUUGCAGGUGCAAAUUAAUAUUGGCUUGUUUACCUUGGGAAACAAUGGCAAUCAUCAGCCAAAUCAAAACAGCAUUUUCUUCCCAGGUAUAGUACUGUGACUAACAGGAGAACUCCCCGGAGAUGAGGUGGUCUCUUUUUCUCAACAGACCAACAUGUACUCGGCACCAAGGGCCUGGCAACACCAUGGUACUGAUGCCUCCUUGCGCCCAUCAGGUGUCCUGGGUGUUUCGAGCUGGAGACCCGGGUUACUCUCACUCUCCUCACCGUAUCCAGUGGAAGAUGCUGCAGAGUACCUUCCGAACCUACAGCCUUUUUGUUAGAAGCCAAAGCAAAGUUAACAGACUACUCAAUUUCAAUAUCACGAUGUCUUUCUUAACCACCACUUCUAUGAUUUGGAGUCUUGUAUUAUUUUAUUCCAUUAGAAAGGAAAAAUUCGGUUUCUGAUUGGCUGGAAUGGGUUCUAUUGUUUCUCUCUUUGUCAGGGGUCAGAGUCACCAUGUUCUGGAACAUUAGCAGGCUUUGGGUCAUGUGGAUAAUCUGGUUCUAGGACUCAAAUAGCUGCUUCAGCCAGAAGUCAGGAACACUUCUUCCUGGAGAAAUGACCCACAUCUUCUCCUGUCCUAGCUCUAUCCUAUAAUUGCUUAUUUAGCUAUUCUGUCAGGUACUUUUGUCCUAUGACUUCUCUGGUGUUCCCAAUAACUAAGAUAUCCUUAUGAAUUCAAUACAUGUUUGAUGCAUAAAAGGAGAAGAAUACUUAGAAAUAUUAUGUUCAUUAAGGAUAUAUUAGUUUGUUCCUCCCAAUGAUCCUGAGGCCACUUUGAAAAACUAACUUACUUUGCCAGCUUUCUAUCCAAUAUUGAGGGUGGAGGUGGGGGCAGGAGAGCUGAAAGGGGAUAUUAUGAAACACAGAACCACUCUGAACAGUAAAGAAACAUGAACAAACUUCAGCAUAGUUUAAUUCUAUGCCAGGCUGCUUGCUUCCCUUCCCUUCUCCUCCUUUCCCCUUUCUUCUCACCUAUUAAAUGUGAGGACAGGGCCAUACCUGCAUGUUGAGUAAGGUUGUCAGCAAGUUGUUUCUUUCAUUCUGCUAUGACUUGAGCUUUCCUUUCUCAUGGUCAUCGGGUCAAUCUAAAAUUUUAAAGAUCUAAAUGGUGUAACACUGCACAUAAAAACAGGUUCAAGUUUAAGACAAGGUGGAAAAGUACCAAACACUUAAAAAAGAUGAAUCGAUGAAAACCCUCCCAUUGACCACCUGCAACUGCAUUUGAGGAGGUGGUGUAUAUAAUCCAGAGACAUCGUGUCCAUUGAGCUGAGAAUGGUAUCGGAUGAGAAUGCUACCAUAAGAAUACUGAUUAAAAACAUCAAAUGCCUGGACUGGAGGUGAAGGAAAGGGCCACAGACUAUGAGCCCUGCAAUAUUUUGCAUCAACUCAGCAGCUUCCAGGUAAACUUGAGCUUCAGUUGAUCCCUUGCUUUGGCACCUUUGAAUUUCCUCUACUAGUGCUUCUAAUGCAAGGUCAGUGGACCUGGGAUACAAGUAUAUGUGGAUGUAAUGUGCCAUUAUGAAGUUUUUCCCUUGAGAAAUAAACUGGUUUUGCAUUUUGGGGAGGAGAACCUA
rnacentral:lncRNA from 1 species